AUGGCGCUACCGUCAGGAUUGUGGAUGGGUUCGACCGUCCCCCUCGACGACAUCGCCUACCUUCGCGACACCAGACGCCCGUCGAGGGCGCAGGAGGUCGAGGCGCGCCCUCCGCAGGGCGAGCGGGAGCCGUGGCCCGAGGGCUUGGAGCGUGUGGUCUUCCUGCCACACUUCAAGCGCGGGUUUGGGAUUCCCGUGAGCGGCUUCUUCCGCGACUUCCUGGAGUUCUUCCGGCUCCAGCCCCACCAUCUCGGCGCCGACGCCAUCGUACAACUGUCAGGCUUCGUCACCCUCUACGAUGGGUACCUGGGGGUCGAGCCUUCGAUUGACCUCUGGGUAUGCUUCUUCUCCCUGAAGCAGCAGGGGCCGAAGGCCAGGGAGAUUUCCGAGUGCGGGGCGGCCGUCAUCACCAAGCGGUCGGCCGUCGACUGCCCGAGGAUGCCGCCGGAGGAUUUUGCCAAGAAAUGGCAGAAUUCUUUCUUCUACGUUCGCAAUUGA
rnacentral:rRNA from 1 species